AGUCAAGUAAUUAAGUGCAUGUGGUGGAUGCCUUGGCAGUCAGAGGCGAUGAAAGACGUGAUAGCCUGCGAAAAGCUCCGGGGAGGCGGCAAAUAUCCUUUGAUCCGGAGAUGUCUGAAUGGGGGAACCCACCUACUUUAAGGUAGGUAUUGCAACAUGAAUACAUAGUGUUGCAAGGCGAACGAGGGGAAGUGAAACAUCUCAGUACCCUUAGGAAAAGAAAUCAAUUGAGAUUCCCUCAGUAGCGGCGAGCGAACGGGGAUCAGCCCAUUAAGUUAUGUGUGUUUUAGUGGAACGCUCUGGGAAGUGCGAACGUAGAGGGUGAUAUUCCCGUACACGAAAGGGCACACAUAAUGAUGACGAGUAGGGCGAGGCACGUGAAACCUUGUCUGAAUAUGGGGGGACCAUCCUCCAAGGCUAAAUACUCCUGACUGACCGAUAGUGAACCAGUACCGUGAGGGAAAGGCGAAAAGAACCCCUGUGAGGGGAGUGAAAUAGAUCCUGAAACCGCAUGCAUACAAGCAGUGGGAGCACCUUCGUGGUGUGACUGCGUACCUUUUGUAUAAUGGGUCAGCGACUUAUAUUCAGUAGCGAGGUUAACCGUAUAGGGGAGCCGUAGAGAAAUCGAGUCUUAAUAGGGCGUUUAGUUGCUGGGUAUAGACCCGAAACCAGGCGAUCUAUCCAUGAGCAGGUUGAAGGUUGGGUAACACUAACUGGAGGACCGAACCCACUGUCGUUGAAAAGCCAGGGGAUGACUUGUGGAUAGGGGUGAAAGGCUAAUCAAGCCUGGUGAUAGCUGGUUCUCCCCGAAAGCUAUUUAGGUAGCGCCUCGGACGAAUACCAUAGGGGGUAGAGCACUGUUUCGGCUAGGGGGUCAUCCCGACUUACCAAACCGAUGCAAACUCCGAAUACCUAUGAGUACUAUCCGGGAGACAGACUGCGGGUGCUAACGUCCGUAGUCAAGAGGAAAACAAUCCAGACCGCCAGCUAAGGCCCCAAAAUCAUAGUUAAGUGGGAAACGAUGUGGGAAGGCAUAGACAGCUAGGAGGUUGGCUUAGAAGCAGCCACCCUUUAAAGAAAGCGUAAUAGCUCACUAGUCGAGUCGGCCUGCGCGGAAGAUGUAACGGGGCUAAAACUAUGUGCCGAAGCUGCGGAUGUAUACUUUGUAUACGUGGUAGGGGAGCGUUCUGUAAGCCGAUGAAGGUGUGUUGAGAAGCAUGCUGGAGGUAUCAGAAGUGCGAAUGCUGACGUGAGUAACGACAAAACGGGUGAAAAACCCGUUCGCCGAAAGACCAAGGGUUCCAGUCCAACGUUAAUCGGGGCUGGGUGAGUCGACCCCUAAGGCGAGGCCGAAAGGCGUAGUCGAUGGGAAAAUGGUUAAUAUUCCAUUACUUCUGUGUAAUGCGAUGAGAGGACGGAGAAGGCUAAAUCAGCCUGGCGUUGGUUGUCCAGGUGAAAGGAUGUAGGCAUGUAUCUUAGGCAAAUCCGGGGUACUCUAUGCUGAGAUCUGAUAGCAAGCUGUACUUGUACAGCGAAGUGGUUGAUGCCAUGCUUCCAGGAAAAGUCUCUAAGCUUCAGUUACACAGGAAUCGUACCCGAAACCGACACAGGUGGUCAGGUCGAGUAGACCAAGGCGCUUGAGAGAACUCUGCUGAAGGAACUAGGCAAAAUGGUACCGUAACUUCGGGAGAAGGUACGCUGUUGUUGGUGAUGGAACUCGCUUCCUGAGCUGACGACAGCCGCAGAAACCAGGCCGCUGCAACUGUUUAUUAAAAACAUAGCACUCUGCAAACACGAAAGUGGACGUAUAGGGUGUGAUGCCUGCCCGGUGCUGGAAGGUUAAUUGAUGGGGUUAGCGUAAGCGAAGCUCUUGAUCGAAGCCCCAGUAAACGGCGGCCGUAACUAUAACGGUCCUAAGGUAGCGAAAUUCCUUGUCGGGUAAGUUCCGACCUGCACGAAUGGCAUAAUGAUGGCGGCGCUGUCUCCAGCAGAGGCUCAGUGAAAUCGAAAUCGCUGUGAAGAUGCAGUGUACCCGCGGCUAGACGGAAAGACCCCGUGAACCUUUACUGCAGCUUGACACUGAACUUUGACCUUACUUGUGUAGGAUAGGUGGGAGGCUUUGAAGCUGGAACGCUAGUUCCAGUGGAGCCGUCCUUGAAAUACCACCCUGGUAAUGUUGAGGUUCUAACUCUGUCCCGUGAUCCGGGACGAGGACCGUGUCUGGUGGGUAGUUUGACUGGGGCGGUCUCCUCCUAAAGAGUAACGGAGGAGUACGAAGGUGCGCUCAGCGUGGUCGGAAAUCACGCGUAGAGUAUAAAGGCAAAAGCGCGCUUAACUGCGAGACCCACAAGUCGAGCAGGUACGAAAGUAGGUCUUAGUGAUCCGGUGGUUCUGUAUGGAAGGGCCAUCGCUCAACGGAUAAAAGGUACUCUGGGGAUAACAGGCUGAUACCGCCCAAGAGUUCAUAUCGACGGCGGUGUUUGGCACCUCGAUGUCGGCUCAUCUCAUCCUGGGGCUGAAGCAGGUCCCAAGGGUAUGGCUGUUCGCCAUUUAAAGAGGUACGCGAGCUGGGUUUAGAACGUCGUGAGACAGUUCGGUCCCUAUCUACCGUGGGCGCUGGAAAUUUGAGAGGAUCUGCUCCUAGUACGAGAGGACCAGAGUGGACGAACCUCUGGUGUACCGGUUGUGACGCCAGUCGCAUCGCCGGGUAGCUAUGUUCGGAAGGGAUAACCGCUGAAAGCAUCUAAGCGGGAAGCCUACCUCAAGAUAAGAUUUCCCUAGGACUUUAUGUCCUCUAAAG
rnacentral:rRNA from 1 species